rnacentral:lncRNA from 1 species
CCAGGGCUCUGCCCGCUCCCCGUUCACGCAGCCUGGUGUGGACACCGCCACUGCCACCUCCACCCUCGCCCGGAGCUCACCUACCACACCCUCUGGAGGGGGCUCUGUCCCCCGGUGCCCCACCUGCCUCCUUGCACUUUUGGGGGGACAGGGCUCCUUGGGGCCCAGGCACCAUGACGCAGGGGUCAGGGCUUCCCAAGAACUCUUUCCUGGGAGCUCACCACUGGGACACCCGCAGCGCAGCCUCCACUAUUGGAUGGAGGCAGGAGCCCAGCUGGACCAGGCUGGCAGCAUCUCUGUCUCCUUGAGCUCGUGGAACUGGAAAGAGGCUGGCAGACACGGCUUGAUCCAGGCACCCCAGCGGCCAUCCCAUAUCUCAGGGUCAGCCCGCUCCUCUGGUCCUGUGCUCCUCGCUGGCUCUCAUUCCUCCAAGCGCCCAGGGUCUGGCCCUUUUGCGGCCCAGCUGCUCCAUCUGGUCUGGGAGCAGGGGCCAAGCAGAGGUCCAAAAUAACCCGGGACCCCGGCUCGGUGCCUCAGGUCCGGCAGGGGCCCAAUGUCAGCCAGGCUGCCCUGGGUGCCGGCUGCCCACUGAGUGCUGAUGUGGGCAUGCCGAGGAGAACUGGAGAAGGGCAAGGACAGAGUGGUGGUGGAUCUGGCCUGCCUGGGAAGGCGCUCCGGCUUUGGGCCGGGUGGAGGUGGGGACCUCUUAGCAGCCUCUUCUUACCUCUCUUAACUCUUCCUCAAGGACUCAGCGCCUGAGACGGAUGAAGCUCUGCUCCACCCGAAAUCGCAUUCGACCCCAUCCGUCCCUCCCUCCACCCCCAUCCCUCCGCCAUCCCCCCAUCCCCCAGACUCAUCACCCUUCAUCUCCCAUUCCUCCCCCUCCACACCCCAUUCCUCCACCCCCCCUUGGUCAUCACCCUCCAUCCCCACCCAUCCCUCCCUCUGUUCCCACUUCCCUCCGUCCACCCAGGCUGCCCAUCCCUCGCCCAUCGGCCCGGCCCUCCGGCUGUUCACCGUCCCUCUGUCCAGCACGCCUCCUCUGCCUCCUGGCCUCCAGACGGCCCAGCACAGAGGGGGCGCUGCAUUCACCCCUUGAUACCAGCACUGUCUGAGUGCCUCCUGUCGGCCACAUGCUGUGCCAGUGCAGAGCUGUGCUGGUGACCCAAACAGAAAGAAGCCUACGUUUGGGAUGUGACAAAGGUGACGACGGAGUGAAAUGCAGGGGUGCGCUGGCUGGGGCUGUGCAGAGGAGGCCUUGCUGCGGGAGGGGAGGCUGUGGGGCAGGUGGCCCAGGAGGCCUUGGGAGGAGGUGAUGCCAGGGAGCCCCGCAGCCAGGCAGCUGGAGGAACGCAUGCAGAGGCUCCGAGGCAGCAGCACUGGGCUUGGUGGAAGACCACCAGGGCCUGCGUGGCUGGCGGGGGAAGCAGGCGUCGUGGGGACCAGCCCUGGUUGCUCGGGUCCCGGUAAAGACGUGGAGAAGAGGUGUCGGAGGCAGGGGCCAGUGCGGGGCACGAGGUGGCAGGGGCGGGGCUGCACCCCGGAGACCGGCCAGGCUGUGGGGCUGCAGAGCCAGAGAUGCGGGCCUUAGGACAGAGUCGGGGGUGUCAGCCUAAGGCCGCUGCGGGUGCCUUAAGCCCAAAGGGCCCUGGUCGCCUGAGGGGCUGCCCGCUGUCGCUGACCUCUGAGCCUUGCUGCUGGUGUCUGGGGUCAGGAGACCAGUGAGCCCGAGGUGGGGACCAAGCCUGGCCAUGACGCUGAGUCGUCGGGGGUGGGGGCGGGGGCCCCUCGGAGGGGCGCUGGGUGGAGGGAGGGCAGGUGUGAGCCCUGAAGGCAGGAUGGGGGUCCUCGCGGGGGUGGGUGUGGACGGAGCACGUAGGAGGGCAAUGCGUGCUGUCUGGAGGGCCCUGGGCCGGCAGGGCGUUUACGGGAAGCAGCACUGUGCCAGGAGGGGCUGAGGGCUCUGGGGGUCCCCUGCCCUUUCCUCAUGUUCUGUGAAGGAGGCAGGUGGUCAGCUGAGCGUGGGGAGGAGGGCUGGGCACACGGGGGGGGUGGCGCGGGAGUGUGGCCGGACCCCGAGGAGAGGGGCUGGCAGGUGGAGGACCUUCUGCCAGCUGCUCCGUGUGGCCUCACGUUGGGCCGCCCACAGGCCUUCCUGGCGUGUCCCCCUGCUGCCCCCGGUUCGUUGGUCGUGGGUGCAUUUGGAGGCAGCGUCCCUGCAGCCGCGACCCGUUUCUGGAAGACCCGUCGCCUGCCUGUGGCCUCUUGAUGUCCUGCCUGGGAGCCGUCCUGACUUCCCCAGGCCACCCUCCAGGCCAUGCUGGGCCGAGGGGUCGGCUGGGCCGGCUUCGCAGCACCAGGGCCUCCUGGCCUGGGCUCAGCCGGAGGGGGUUGGGGAGCGUGGAUGGCGCCGCUGUACCGCCUGGGGACCAGCUGCCCUCGUGUCUGGGGGUGCGGGGAGCCGUCCUGGGCUCCUGGUUGGGGGCCACUCGGAAGUCAGCGUUGAGCGUUUUAUUAAAGACAGCGGUGGUACACGGGGCCGGCCCCCUUAGCGCGGGGCUUCGGGGCCUUCUCCGGGGACGUGGGGCCGCUGGCCCGCCCCCUUCGCCGAGACCCGCAGGUGUUUGAAGGCGGUGGGCAGCGUGUGGCCCAGGAACGGAGGGGUGGUCACGUCGCAGACCAGGACCACGUACUCGCCUGCAAGACCCGGGCGCUUGGACUCAGCCUGGCGGCCGCCGCCUGCCUACUCCAUCCUGCCCCCGCCCAGGGACCCCGCCCCGGGCUGCGGGCCGAGCUGCGGAGGUGAUCACGCGCGUCUGGGGUGAACAAGCCCAUCUCCGAGGUCGGGACGCAGGCCCGGCUGAGGCUCCUGUCCUGGGGCAGAGCUGGGGCCAGACGGAGGGACCUGCCGGCUCUGCAGGAGGGGCUGGGCUCGAGACCCCUUCCCCGGGACGGGGCCGUGUGGCAGAGGGCAAGGAGUUCUGUUGAAAAUCCUUUCCUAUCUUUUUAGGAGAGAAAUAAUUCGCUUCCUCGAGACUGCUUUUAAAAAUAAUUACCCUCUGAAGGCAGGGCCGUCUGGCAUAUAUUCUGUGGGAGGGGGCGGCUCUGGGGUGGGGUGGGGGGCACCCGCUGGGGGCUGCGAGAAGGAAGGCCUUUUCCUCCUGAAGCCCGUAAACUGUCUGGAGAGCUCCAGAGUUGGAGAAAC